AAAAAUAACGCUGUCCACUGUCACCGACUCAGAUCCACGCCGACUCUGUUGUUUGCUAUAAAUGCUAGCCAUCCUGUCAUCAUUCACUAUUUAAUCUCGGCCUUCAAUCUCCUCCUCAUAUACAACUUCUUAAUUGCUUCUCUAAAUAGUUGGGGAUUAAUCAUUGCAUAACAACGCAUUCUUUUCUCGGUUUAGACCUCGGUUCUCUAUAUAGUUGGCUUUUCAGUUCUCAGUUAUUUUGAUUCAGUGCGUAUGAGUUUUUAUUUUGAGUAUCAUGUAGAUCAGGUCGUUGAUCCGACAGAAAGAGUUGGUUCAAUUUGGCAUUAUCGCCGUCCCUGUGGGUUAAUAUAUGAUCUUGUUUAGUUUUGAUUUUUUUAACUUAUUGGUUUUGAUUUGUUGAAACUAAUUUAACUAAGAGUAUUUUGAUAUUCUAUAGCUGGCUAUUUUAUUGUGGUCGGAUUUUAAUCACUCGAAUAUUGAGGCUUGCAAGAUGCUUGAUUUUUUUAUCAGAGUUGAUUGGAUCAAUUGAUGGGAGUUAGGGUUUGUCAUGGAAGUAUAGCUCUGAUGUUAUCAACUUGACAAUAUGUUCAGCAAUCUUUCAAACUUUGUUAUACCUUGUUUUUUGAUUUCUUUGGUAUUCCUCUAUGAACUAAAUCUACACAGAUUCAAUUGCUUUCUUCCCAAGGCUCUCUUCCUGUCUCAUUAGGAUAUUGGGCUAAAGUUUGGGGGAAAAGUAAAAGGGUUUCUUGCAUCUCAUUCUCUUAAAUUUGUUAUUUAACACACGAGUUUGCGAAAAUUUGUAUGCCCUAAGAUUGAAAAAUGGCUUUUUGAUUCAGUAUUAUGCUUAUUGAUUACUAACUAUGUUGGAUCCUUAGUGUGUGGAUUGUGUGCCUUUCCAGAAUUGUAUUUGCUUCUGGCCCAACAUGUGGCUAAGACAUUUGAUGCGGAUAUAUGGUUGCUCUAAAGUUUAAAAGUGGCUUUUCGAUUCAAUAUUAUGUCACUUGAAUCCUUAUUAUGCUGGAUUCUUAGUGUGUGGAUUGUGUGCCUUUCCUGAAUUCUCUCUGCAUAUGGAGCUACAUGUGGCUCAAACAGUUAAUGCAGAGAUAUAUUCGCUAAGAUUGAAAUUGGCUUUUGGAUUCAGUAUUAUGCCUCUGGAAUCCUGAUUAUGUUGGAUUAUUAGUUUGUGGACAGCCUUUCCAGAAUUCUAAAACAGUUUUCCAACAUAUAUAUUUGCACUAAGAUUCAAACUGGCUUUUUGAUUCAGUAUUAUGCCUCCGAAAUCCUGAUUAUGCUGGAUUCUUAGUGUGGAUUGUGCGCCUUUCCAGAAAAUCUAUCUGCAUCUGGAGUGGCAUGUGGCUAAAGCAUUUGAAAAAAAUGAGGUGCUUGUGUGGCUAAAAACCUGAAAAUCAGUUUUCUGAUGACCCGCUGUACAUUUCUCAAUCUUAUUUCGUGAUUUUAUGUCUCCUGAAUCCUCUCGAAAAAAAUGCCUCUUUCAUGCUGGCUAAAAGUUUUCAAAUAAUGAGUUUUCAGUCUGUUUUCUUAAACUUCCUGAUAAUGUGGGCUUUAAAUGUUGCUUGUGUUGCCAAAAGAUUGAAUAAUCCUAUUCUCAGAUCUCACUCUUUUUUCUUGAUUUUAUUAUGGCUCGAAAUCUCGAAUCUUAUUUUAAGUAAGACUGGAGAUUUGAUUGUGAUGGAUUCUGAAUAUUGGUCGUGCCCUUUGUUAAGUUUCCACCAGCUUGUAGAGAUUUGCAUGCUAAGUUUGAGCAAGGAGUUUUCCUUCCUCUACAAUUUUAACUGAACCGGUAUUUUUAAAUGAGUACUUUUGGAACUGGAAUUAUUUCUGGUUGUUUGUGGUGGUAGGAUUGAAACUCAAUCUACAAUAUUUUGGAUGUUCUGGUUGAGGGGAUGGUACCAUUAUUGUUUUGAACAUGUGAUAUCAGAUGAAAAUAUUAUUGCUUUUCUUUGAUGGUACUCUAGGGCAGAUAUUAUGGAUAUAUUUGGAUUUGUUUCAUUCUGCUUCUCUAUUGUGCAUAUCCUGGAUUGCGCACUUGAAUUAUGCGGUUUGACUAGAAAUAAGUUGGACCAUAUAUAACCUUUUUUUUUUUCAAACAGUUCUUUGAUAAUUUUUCAUUGUGUACUAAACUAAGACCGGAGAUUUGAUUGGUUCUUUCCAGGAGUUGUCUGCGUUCUUCUGAUGAUUCAUAUCUUAACUCAGCAAUUUGUUAUUUAAUGCUCAUCCGAGAUUGUGGUUUAAGCAUUGGUAUUACUAUGAACUCAUUCUGUUCUUGCUUAGAUGAUUUGGUUCAAUCAUCCACCUGGACUAUUCAAUCAAAGGAUAACGAGCAUGUUUCCCAACUCUUCUCAAGAAAGAAGGCUGUUUCUUUGUAGAAUUGUGCUCAAUUUCGUAUGUGACAAUUGAGGGAAUAAUCCCAUGAAUGAGAUUGUUUGAUAUCAUACAUUGAUUCUGUUUUAUCUGGUCUUUUAAUUGAAUGAUUAGUUGUGAAUUAAACAUGAAAGUGGGGAUUUCGCUGCUUGCUUCCUAAGUGUCCAUGUUUCUUAAUGAUAUGGGCUACAGAUUGAAAAAGAAGAAAAAAAAAACAAGAGAAUUUCUCUUAGUUCUUAUUCUUUGCUAUUACUGAAGUUGGUGGAAAUAUAUUUUGCCAAGAUUGAAAAAUGGCUGUUCUUGGAUCCUAUAUUGACGGUCUGAGUGUGGAUGGUCUGUUCUCCCAAAUUCUAUCAUCAUAUGUAGCAACAUCUGGCUAUUGAGUUCACUUUGCUAUCCCAUUUUUCUGGUUUGGUAUCGCAAACUUUUUUUUAAUUUUAUUUUUAUCCUAACUCAAAUGUUCAUUUUGUUACAUGUUUUGCAGCUCUUGCUUUCUCAAAUUCUCGAUGGUGUAAUGCUGGCACUCUAGCAGUAUACUGAAUUACUAAGUGGAAGUGUGCAAUUUUUAUAUUUUUAUUGCUUUUUGCAAAUGUAACAAAACUGAGAUUUAGCUGCGUGCAUCCUGGGUGUCUAUUUCUUAUAUUGAGGAUAUGCGAGAGGACUGUUUUGGGUUAGUGAUUUGGUAUUAUAUGGCGCUGGCUGCAUGAAUUGCUUACUGUGGAAGUUGUCUUGCUAUCUCUCACAUUCUUUCAGAGGAUGAUGCUAUUGCUUUUUUCCCUUUUUUGCCCCACUUGUCAUGCUGUGCAAGUUGGUAUUUCGGUGCAUCCCGUUUUCGGUUCUGUGCAAGGUUGGAUAAUGCUCUGAUCCUUUAACUGGUUGAUUAUACGUUUUCUAACAGUUGAAGUUCUAGAUCUUGGAGUUUUGGAAAAAGAUCCUUUUCAGGCAAGUAUAAUCAAAGCCUCUCUCGGGAGCUAAUAAUGCUAAGUUCAGACUUAGAGUUUGGUUUAUUGGGCAUCUCAGUAUGCAUGCUGUGCAUGUUGGCAUUUCAGUGCAUCCCGUUUUCGGUUCUGUGUAUAGUUGGAUAAUACUGCUGACCCGUUAACUGCUUGAUGAUACAUUUUCUAACAGUUGAGGUUCUAGAUCUUGGACUUCUGGUAAAAGAUCUUUUUCAGGAAAGUAUAAUAAACCUUUCUCGGGAGCUCGUAGUGCUAAGUUCAGCCUGACAGUUUGGUUUAUUUGUAUGUGCUCAUUUCUGCUGAUAGUGCUCGGACUUCUUGGACCACUCCAUCGUAAAGAACCUAUAAAAUGAAAAAUCCCCUACUUGAUAAAGGUUCUCCCCUUAUGGAUGGAAAGGUUCCUACAGACUAGUGAUUCUGUGAUUUACAUAUUUUGAAGGUGGGCCCAUCUUUUGCAUGUUGUAUUGUCAAUGCUGCAUGUUGGCAUUUCGAUUUAUCCUGUUUUCGGUUCUGUGUAUAGUUGGAUAAUGCUGCUGAUCCCUUCACUGCUUGAUGAUACAUUUUCUAACAGUUGAGGUUCUAGAUCUUGGACUUUCGUAAAUAGAUUUUUUUCAGGAAAGGAUAAUUAAAGCCUUUCUGGGGAGCUCGUAGUGCUAAGUUCAGCCUGAGAGUUUGGUUUAUUUGUAUGUGCUCAUUUCUGCUGACAGUGCUCGGACUUCUUGGACCACUCCAUCGUAAAGAACUUAUAAAAUGAAAAAUUCCCUACUUGAUAAAGGUUCUCCCCUUAUGGAUGGAAAGGUUCCUACAGAUUAGUGAUUCUGUGAUCUGUCAUAUUUUGAAGGUCAGCCCAUCUUUUGCAUGUUGUAUUGUCAAUGCUGCAUGUUGGCAUUUCGAUUUAUCCUGUUUUCGGUUCUGUGUAUAGUUGGAUAAUGCUGCUGAUCCCUUCACUGCUUGAUGAUACAUUUUCUAACAGUUGAGGUUCUAGAUCUUGGACUUUCGUAAAUAGAUUUUUUUCAGGAAAGGAUAAUUAAAGCCUUUCUGGGGAGCUCGUAGUGCUAAGUUCAGCCUGAGAGUUUGGUUUAUUUGUAUGUGCUCAUUUCUGCUGACAGUGCUCGGACUUCUUGGACCACUCCAUCGUAAAGAACUUAUAAAAUGAAAAAUUCCCUACUUGAUAAAGGUUCUCCCCUUAUGGAUGGAAAGGUUCCUACAGAUUAGUGAUUCUGUGAUCUGUCAUAUUUUGAAGGUCAGCCCAUCUUUUGCAUUUGUAUUGUUGAUGUGUUGAUGAAUUAUUGGUCUAGCAGUAUUGGAAUCUAACUUGGAUCAAUGUUCCAUCAUGUGACUUUCUUUGCUAUUGCGAUCUUUCAUUUAAGUGUGAUUCAGUUUGAUUUUUGUGCAAUAUUUGAUUUCAGAUCAGUAUUUGUAGAUUGGCUGCUUGAUAUGGCAGUACAAUUGGUUUAAAAUGUUCCCAUUUUUUUCAAGUGAUAAUCUCUGAAGAUUGAGAACUAUCGAUUUUGAUUUGUUAAAAUCCAAUCUGAUGAACUGUGGCUGAUAUUGGAAAAAAAAUUUGAUUCUUGUUAAUUUCUUUGAUGGUGUGCUAGGGCCUUAAUUGAGGAUGAAUUUGAAUUUAUUUCUUUAUGCUUUUCCCUUGUGUAUCUUGGUGUAAGCACUAGGAUAAUACCUGGGAGGACUCCGUAAAACAUUGACUUAUACUUGUCUUUUAAUUGGUUCUUGACAUUGUUUUUUCGUCAGCUAAAAGUUAAGCUGGAGAUCUGGUUCUUUUUUUUUUUUUUUCCAGGAAUCUUCUUCGUUCUUAUCAUGAGGACUUAUAGGUUUUUGUUCUCCACAAUUUUUUAUUUGCUUCUGUGGAAAUGCACUAGGAUUGAGAAAUGGCUUUUCGUAGAUUUCAGUCUACUUUUCUUGCUUGAAUCCUUUGUUAUGUUUGAUUCUGAGUGUGUGGACUGUGUGGUAUUCCCAGAUUCUAUCAUAUGGCAUGACGUGUGGAUAAAAAUACUGAGAAACAGGUUUUCUUGUAUAUCACCCUUAAAUUUGUCAUUACACUCCCUCAUAGUUUUGGAUUUCACUUUUGAGAGUUCUUGCAUCUCUAAAAGAUUGAGAUUCUUUUUGUUUUCUUAGAUGUCAGUCCACAUUUCUACUUUAUACCUUCUGAAUGUUGGAUAAAAUUUUUAAAAGAUGGUGUGUUGAAUCUCGCUUUCAGAUUAGUGGUACGCUUCCUCGUAUUUUUGUGUUUUGAGGGUUGUUUGUGGGGUUAAAAGAUAAUGAGUUCCGUAGGUCUCUCUUGAAUACUUGUCAUUGAAAUUCUUUUGGUUUUCUCAGAUGUCACUCUAAUUUUCCGACUUCAUGCCUUCUGAAUGUUAUCUAAAAAUUUCAAAAAAUGGUAUCUGUUGAAUCUCGCUUUUGAGGGUUAUUGUGGGGUAGAAAGAUAAUUUUCCUAAUACUUUGAUUUUGAGUAUUGAUUGUCUGAUUUCUAUAGAACAUUGUUCUAAGAUUGAAAUUUGCCUAUCAGCUUCUAAAGCGAUGUAACAUUGAGAAAUGGGUUUUUCCAGACCUUGCUUCAUAAUCUUGUCAUUUAUUUGAUUAUUGAGAGUAGUGGAUUAUCUUAGUGUUGGUUCUUUUUUAUGGAUUCCACUAACUUAUAGAGAUAUCGGUGUGAAUGUUGGAAAGAUGGGUUUCUUUCCACAAUUUUGUAUAUUAAUUAUGAUUUCUGUUAGUGAUCAAUCUUGAGUUUUGGUUGUGUACUUUUGUAGGAUUCCACCAGCUUGUGGACGUGCAAGCUAAGAUUGAAAUAUUGGUUUUCUUACCCAGCAGUGUCCUUUUUCUAAUUUUUUCCCCCUAAUAGUGGUGGAGUUAACGUUGGUUGUGUACUUGUGGUACUUUCCGGGAUCAGUAAGCUUGUGGAUGAUAUGAUAGAGAAGCUUUAUUCUGCUUUUGUUAUUUAUCCGUUCUUGUGUAUGUUUGGAUUUUUGAACCUCAGUAUAAUGAAUGUAAGUUGGUCUUGUUGCCUUGGAAUUUGAACACAGAACUGAUGGAUAAUAGUUUCCCCAGGUUCAACAUUUUGACUGAAUGUGGAAAAUUGGGGAAGUAUUUGUUGCCUUUGAAUUUCAAAUUUUCAUCCCUUAAUAAAUAGAUCAAUGCAAGGCUAAGAACUACUUGCCUCUUUUUUCAGGGUCAUUCUUGAUUCCACCAACUGUUAUCGGAUAGGUCUUUUCAGUAAUUUUGAUUGAUUAACAAUAUCCUGCUUCUUGAACAUUUCUGAAUUGUACAAGAACCCAUAUGUGAAUCGUGGGUUUUUGUUGGGGUCCUCUUUGAAUUUUGAACGCCUUGGGCUUCAAUUGUAGUUAGCUUAAUUGGUCACUACAUCUUGUUUGGAUUACUAUUAUUUUCACACCCCUAUUUUUCUUGUUUCAUAUUUUAUCCUACUAAAAUUUAGUUCAUUUCUUACAUGUCUUGCAGCUUUUGGUUUCUCAUUUGUUUUAUAACUAGCAUGGAAGCAGUAGACUUUGGUGGUUAUGUAUACCCUUCUUUAAUGUGGAAGUGCUUCUUGCAAUGCUAGCUUAGUUUUAUCUAUCCAUGUCUUUUGUUGAGGAUCUGCAAGAUGACUUUUUUGGGCAAGCGACUUGGUUUUGUGUAUUGUGUGGUGCUGGCCUACUUGAUGUGUCCUAAGGAUUCUUUUUGUACGUGUUUGACAGCUAUUGCUUUCCCACUUCUUUUUGGCCAACUCGGCAUGCUAUGCAUGUUCGCAUUCUAUACAUUUCAUUUUUGGUGCUGUGUCCUGCUAUAAUAAUCACAUAACACCUGGUUGGUAGUUCAAAAAUGCUGCUGAUUAUUCUCUAAACUACCUGAUGAUCCUUAUGGGCUACAGAUUACGGCUGGUGAGAUCCAAGUAUUCUGAAGGUUGCCUCUCUUUUGCAUCUUGUAUUGUCAGUUAUGGUGUUGAUGAUUAGAGCAGCAGUGUUGGAGUCUUAACUCGCAUCAAUUUUCAACUAUAUAUGUUCUAUUUUGCCAACUUCUUUUGCUAUUUUGAUAUUCAGUUACAGUAUCUCAUAAUAAUGUUGGUUUUGUUUUGUUCCUUGUGUUAGGGCGAUUCAUUUUGAUCUUGUGCAAUAUUCAACUCUCAGAUUGGUAUUUGGUAUACUGGCUUCCUAAUGCGGUAGAAGAUUGUUUGAUGUGGUUCUUUCCAUGAUUCAUUUUUCUUCCAAGCUAUAAUCUGUAGAGUUAAACCUAUUGUGUUUGAAAUGUCAGAUUCUUACUGAUUGGGUUUUCUUGGACUAUCUCUGAUUGUUUAGCGGUGGUAGGAUUUAAAUCUAAUGUUAGGAUUUUUGAAGAGUCUUGAGGCUUGAGAAAAUGUUGGGGUUUCUGGAAAAUCUAGAUUGUUUUGAUCGGUUUGAUUGAUGAGAGUCAGGGUUUUCGCAUUGUAACUGCUAUUGAUUUGGGCACGUGCUAUCAGAAGUAAAUCUGAUUCUGGUUUAUUUUCUUUGAUGGUGCUGGGGCAGAAGAUCACGGAUGAGUUUGUGUUUGUUUCACUCUGCUUCUAUCUUGUGCAUAUCUUGGUUUGAGCAGUUUGGAUGUUGAAGGAUUGUAUAAAACCUUGACUUGAAUUUAUUUUGUAAUUGGUGGUUUGACAGUUUUUUCUAUCUUGGUUCUUGUUCUGCUUUUGUUAUAGGGUGUUUGCCGUCUGGCUUUUUGUGUUUGUUUAAUCAAACAUCGAUAUAAUUGAUAAGCGAUAGCCAUUACCAGAGGUGGAGAAUUUAUGUUGGUCUGGUUGUGUGUUUUGUGGAAACUUGGUUUUUCAUCCCUUUACUAAAUAGAAUUAAGCCCGAGAAAGCCAGUUGAACUUUACUAGACGAUGAGGCAAAAAUUGUGUAUGGGCACAGCAACAGGCCAUUCCUUCCUCAAUGAGGAAGAAUUGCUCCUGCGGAAGUUACAGCUGCUAAUGCUCUCCUUGAUAAUUGAUGAUUUCUGAUCUUGGUUUUGGCCAAGUUUGAUGUAAAGGACCGACUCUUGUAUCAGCAUCAGAGAUGCUGGAGCUAUUUGAGUUGCCUAUUCUUUUUCUAUGUUCUUCUGCUCACGUUCCCAGGGAUGUUUCAGCAAUUUGGUAGUCAUGGUUCUGUUUUGGAUUUCUUUCAAUUAAGCAAAUAUGACAUUUAUAUUUUAA